GCAAGGGGGUCAUCCCGACUUACCAACCCGAUGCAAACUGCGAAUACCGGAGAAUGUUAUCACGGGAGACACACGGCGGGUGCUAACGUCCGUCGUGAAGAGGGAAACAACCCAGACCGCCAGCUAAGGUCCCAAAGUCAUGGUUAAGUGGGAAACGAUGUGGGAAGGCCCAGACAGCCAGGAUGUUGGCUUAGAAGCAGCCAUCAUUUAAAGAAAGCGUAAUAGCUCACUGGUCGAGUCGGCCUGCGCGGAAGAUGUAACGGGGCUAAACCAUGCAC
rnacentral:rRNA from 1 species